CCUACGGGUGGCAGCAGUGGGGAAUAUUGGACAAUGGGCGAAAGCCUGAUCCAGCCAUGCCGCGUGUGUGAAGAAGGCCUUCGGGUUGUAAAGCACUUUCAGUGGGGAAGAAAGCCUUGGGGCUAAUACCCUCGAGGAAGGACAUCACUCACAGAAGAAGCACCGGCUAACUCCGUGCCAGCAGCCGCGGUAAUACGGAGGGUGCGAGCGUUAAUCGGAAUUACUGGGCGUAAAGCGCGCGUAGGCGGUCUGAUAAGCCGGUUGUGAAAGCCCCGGGCUCAACCUGGGAACGGCAUCCGGAACUGUCAGGCUAGAGUGCAGGAGAGGAAGGUAGAAUUCCCGGUGUAGCGGUGAAAUGCGUAGAGAUCGGGAGGAAUACCAGUGGCGAAGGCGGCCUUCUGGACUGACACUGACGCUGAGGUGCGAAAGCGUGGGUAGCAAACAGGAUUAGAUACCCUAGUAGUC
rnacentral:rRNA from 1 species